rnacentral:misc_RNA from 1 species
GAUGAAGAACGCAGCGAAAUGCGAUAAGUAAUGUGAAUUGCAGAAUUCAGUGAAUCAUCGAAUCUUUGAACGCACAUUGCGCCCCCUGGUAUUCCGGGGGGCAUGCCUGUUCGAGCGUCAUUUCACCACUCAAGCCUCGCUUGGUAUUGGGCAACGCGGUCCGCCGCGUGCCUCAAAUCGACCGGCUGGGUCUUCUGUCCCCUAAGCGUUGUGGAAACUAUUCGCUAAAGGGUGUUCGGGAGGCUACGCCGUAAAACAACCCCAUUUCUAAGGUUGACCUCGGGUCAGGUAGGGAUACCCGCUGAACUUAAGCAUAUCAAUAAGCGGAGGA